rnacentral:misc_RNA from 1 species
GUGCAUUCUGGGGUCAUUGUGGCUAUUAGCGGCUUGCCUGGCAAUUGAGCUGGGUGGGUGGCUGUUAGGCAGGUGGUUUCGGGGAUGUCUACCGUAAAGGUGCAUGAGUGGUGUUUGGUUUGUUACGGGUGGUUGGCUCUUUGCUUGCGCAACAACUUCCACCUGGCAUACCUCUUCAGUCUUGCGUCAAUGCUUGAAUUGCAUUGUAUGCGUGGUGGGUUUACUGUGUUGAAUGCCUAAUUGAUGGUAUCAUUUGAUGAAUUGGUAUCCUUUUUCGUCUUGUGUUGCACAUGCAAUGUGAGAUGAACCUUGAAGCAGGCUUUGUGAUCCACUCUUUCGAUGCUAUGCAUUGAUUUGGUGGCUCGUUCAGUGUUGCUUGGUCUCAUGGAUAUGGAACCUGGUGUGGGCAUGGAAUUUUUGAGUUCCUUGUUUGCCCUAGUUUAGCUUUUCUAAUACGAGUGCCUAUCAUGUCUUGACGUGGUGGGAUACUUCGAUUACGAAUGCUACCUGGUUGAUCCUGCCAGUAGUCAUAUGCUUGUCUCAAAGAUUAAGCCAU